AUUUAGAAUCAAUUAAUUCAACAUAUUUGAUAUUCAGUAUUUUGGGGCAAUAUUCGGACGGACAUUCCACCAUUCCAACAGUUAUGAGCCUGGGGUUGCUAUCUAUAGCUAAAUCUUAAAUCUUAUAUCAUUCUAUCUUAUAUUGAUAUAUCUUAUAUCUUAUAUUUAUCUUUAUCUUGAUAUUUAUUCAUAUUGAUCUUCUUAUCAGUGAUGAUAUCAGCAUAUCCUUGAUUCUAUAUCUAGUUGAUCUAUAAUAUUAACUUGAAUCAUCGGUUUUCUAUAUCAAUUCUAUAUCUGCUUGAUCUAUAAUAUCAACAGAUUCCUCAAUUUCCUAUAUCAACAAUUCUUCUAUUAAGAUGACGACAGAAAUUAGUUCUUCUAAAUCAACAAUUACCUUAGAUUCUUCCAAGAAUUGGGAUCUUUGAUACAAAAUAAUACUAGACCUUACCAUAGAAAAUGAUGUACUUGAGUUCAUUGAUGAUGAAAGCUCUGAUCAGAUCAAUCAACUAUCUGUCCCAUCUUCUUCAAAUAUCUCAACUGAAUAU
rnacentral:sRNA from 1 species